rnacentral:rRNA from 1 species
CGUAGGGACCAAGCGUUGUUCGGAUUUACUGGGCGUAAAGGGCGCGUAGGCGGCGUGGUAAGUCAAUUGUGAAAUCUCCGAGCUUAACUCGGAACGGUCAAUUGAUACUGCUGUGCUAGAGUGCAGAAAGGGCAAUCGGAAUUCUUGGUGUAGCGGUGAAAUGCGUAGAUAUCAAGAGGAACACCUGAGGCGAAGGCGGGUUGCUAGGCUGACACUGACGCUGAGGCGCGAAAGCUAGGGUAGCAAACGGGAUUAGAUACCCCGGUAGUCCUAGCCCUAAACGAUGAAUACUUGGUGUCUGGAGUUUUAAUUCUCCGGGUGCCGUCGCUUAACGUUUUUAGUACUUCCGCCUGGGGAGUACGCACGCAAGUGUG